rnacentral:rRNA from 1 species
UACGUAGGUGGCAAGCGUUGUCCGGAUUUACUGGGCGUAAAGCGCGCGCAGGCGGUCGUUCAAGUCGCGUGUGAAAGCCCCCGGCUUAACUGGGGAGGGUCACGCGAUACUGAUCGACUCGAAGGCAGGAGAGGGAAGUGGAAUUCCCGGUGUAGUGGUGAAAUGCGUAGAUAUCGGGAGGAACACCAGUGGCGAAGGCGACUUCCUGGCCUGUUCUUGACGCUGAGGCGCGAAAGCUAGGGGAGCAAACGGG